rnacentral:lncRNA from 1 species
AGUAGUAUGACAUAAUGGUGACAAUCUUUCUCUCGUGGCUCCCCAUUCCUGUAAAUAAGGGAUGAGAGAAUGGAGGAAGAAACAUUUAGAUGAGAGAAAAAUAGUGAGAAACAUAGAGAUGAGGGAAUAAGGAGUACAAAGUGUGUAAUUUUUGACAGUAUUAUAAGGUUUGAGAUAAAAAUCUUAGAAAAACUCUACUAGAUUAUGAGAAUAAAAGAGGAAGAGAAGAAGAAGAAAGCUCACAGUCAAAACAAAGUUAUUAACCGUUAACAAGGUAAACAUUUUUCUUAAGUUUUUAAGUUCGGUUUCUCUUUAAUUUUUUAGAUUAAUUUUUUGAGUAUUUUGUUGGAUAUUUUGAAUAAAAAAAGUGACAAAAAAUUAUCCUGAAACUCUGCUGGAUUUUUUUUUAAAUGUCAUAAAUAAACUAGAACUCUGUCGGAAUUAAGAUUACGACUAUUAAGGUUUUAAGGUAAAGUGAGUGUUAUGAUUUCAUUAGCCUAUAUAGUUUUGAAAUAUUUUACGUAUUUUCAGUAUAAAUAAAUGAGUAAGUGGAUAUUAUGGAUUCAUAACCUAUGUAGUUUUGAAAUAUUUUACGUUUUUUCAGUAUAAAAACGUGAAAGUAUUCGAUUUAUUUUUCGUAUUCGCUAAGUAUUUGUUAAAGUUUUACUUUGAUAUGAGUGUUAUUUCACUUUUUGUUUUUAAAAUAUGAUUUUGAUAUGUGUGCAUCACUCAUUGUAGAAAGAAGUUAUUUUGAAAGUACCUACAUUAUGCUAGACUUUAAUAUGAUUGUACAUAACCAUUCUGUAUUCGGGUGUAUUACCAAAGUGAUAAAUGUGUACCUAUAAUUAACCAUUCUGUAUUUGGGUGUAUUUAAAAAUAAUCUGAUAUGCGAGCCCUAACAGUUUCGUAUUUAGAGAUAGCAGUGUUUCAAGGUACUCAUGUAUGCCAUUUCGUGUUUGGGUACAUGGAGAACUAGUGAUAAGUAUGUGUGCCUACAUAUAAUGUAUGAUAACUGAUUGAUCCUUCAUAAUAGUGAUAAAGUAUACAAUGAAAUAAUUGUGAAUCUAUUUUCUGAUUCUUAUAUUGAUUUUUAAAAAUAUUAUAUGAUAUACAUUUUGUUGUACAUAGAAAAACUAUAUAUUGCAUGUAUUAUGUUGUGAUUUUAUAAUAUCUCUUAUUGAGAUAGUUUAUCUCACUCUCCUAUUACUCUCAAGAUACCGAAGAUACUGCUACAAAAUGAGCGGUGAUAUGGAGAAAAAUUUUAAAGCUAGACUCUGAGAUUAAGAUUACUGUUUCAUACUUUUGUUUAGUAAUGUAAAUAAGAAAAUUUAAAACCUCGUACA